AUUGAACGCUGGCGGCAUGCCUUACACAUGCAAGUCGAACGGUAACGCGGGGCAACCUGGCGACGAGUGGCGAACGGGUGAGUAACGCAUCGGAACGUGCCCAGUAGUGGGGGAUAGCCCGGCGAAAGCCGGAUUAAUACCGCAUACGACCUACGGGUGAAAGGGGGGGAUCGCAAGACCUCUCGCUAUUGGAGCGGCCGAUGUCAGAUUAGGUAGUUGGUGGGGUAAAGGCCUACCAAGCCGACGAUCUGUAGCUGGUCGGAGAGGACGACCAGCCACACUGGGACUGAGACACGGCCCAGACUCCUACGGGAGGCAGCAGUGGGGAAUUUUGGACAAUGGGCGAAAGCCUGAUCCAGCCAUGCCGCGUGCGGGAAGAAGGCCUUCGGGUUGUAAACCGCUUUUGUCAGGGAAGAAAUCUUCUGAGCUAAUACCUCGGGAGGAUGACGGUACCUGAAGAAUAAGCACCAGCUAACUACGUGCCAGCAGCCGCCGUAA
rnacentral:rRNA from 1 species